GUAGCUUCUGCUGUAUUCACUGUAUGGGGCCUAGCUUAGCUGGUAGCAUGUAAUUUAUAAGCGCUCUUCCAUGGCUGCUACCCCCUUGCCAAAGCAAGUGUUCACGGGUAAACAAAUAACACUGUUCUGGCCUGACCCUCAUUUCAACGCUCUUUGAGCUCUGCUAUCUGUUUGCAAUCAAUUUCUUGAAUCCUUGUCACUUUACGAUUUGGUUUCACAUACUGUCAUUGUUUGAGUCCGGUAAAGUGAAUAUAGCAAGACUGCAAGAGACCUGCAAAUUCAGCCGAGAUAAUUGACAGAUAUCCGACAGCCGAGAUACCAGAUAUAUUGGUUUCAGAUACCCGAAAGGCGCAAUCCUGGUGUGAAAUUAAUGAAAUGUUACGAAGCUUUUGGUUGACAGAGAUAAUUGACAGGCAGCCAUGUUGUGCGAUGUCACUUCACUUUUCUUUUUUGGUUUCUGCAGUUUGACUUUCGAUGAUUAUAUGUCACAGUGUUCAUCUCAGCCUCUCUCUUAUAAUUCAAAUCACCGCACCCUUCUGCCACUGCAGAUCAUGCUUUAAAUCCACGUGAUUGGGUGAGAAAGAUGCUCAAUACGUAAAAAUUAACAGCAAAAUUGCUGCUAAAUGUGUCCAUACUUGUUUUCCGUCAGUCUGGUCGUGUAGCUUGGGCUUCCCUUGUCGACAUGACAAUAGCUUUUUAUUUUGGACUCUUGUUGUACACUUUAGCUUGUUUCCUAAUCAACUUUAUUUUAUCUUGAUCCCUUAUUCU